rnacentral:rRNA from 1 species
UACGGGGGGAGCAAGCGUUGUUCGGAUUUACUGGGCGUAAAGGGCGCGUAGGCGGCGCAACAAGUCAGCUGUGAAAUCUCCGGGCUUAACCCGGAGCGGCCAGCUGAUACUGUCGUGCUAGAGUGCGGAAGGGGCUACUGGAAUUCUCGGUGUAGCGGUGAAAUGCGUAGAUAUCGAGAGGAACACCUGUGGCGAAGGCGGGUAGCUGGGCCGACACUGACGCUGAGGCGCGAAAGCUAGGGGAGCGAACGGG